AAGUCUGUUUAGGAUCAUUUUGGCAUCACAAACAUUCAAAUCACUAACAACCAAACAACUAUUCAACUGCUUCAUAUUGGAAACUUUUUUCCACAAAACUUUCUAGAAAAUCAUGCAAACCAUGAAGAUCGUCAUUAUUAUCGGAGCCAUUGUCGCCAUGGCAUGUGCUGCACCUGAACCUCUGGUAAAUGCUGGAAAGGCCGUAAGCAAUUCGAUCUCUUCCGCUAACCAACCCCCCAAAUCAUCCGCCGAGAAUAUUUUCCUCAAGAUUGCGAAUGACGGAAGUCUUGCGUGGUGUGGAGGCUACACGGCGCCCGAAUGCAGUAACGCCUGCUACUGGCUGGGAUACCGAUGCUAUCAGUGCACUUCAAGCUCGUGUCGGUGUACGGAUUAUGGGUGUUAGGAAUUUGAUGGAUGUUUUAAUAUAGCUAAGCAUUUUUUAUAUGGAUUACUAGAUUUUUCAAUGAAAUAAACAAUUAUUAUAACGAUA